GACGAACGCUGGCGGUGUGCUUAACACAUGCAAGUCGAACGGUAAGGCCCUUUCGGGGGUACACGAGUGGCGAACGGGUGAGUAACACGUGAGUAACCUGCCCUCAUCUCUGGGAUAACAGUCGGAAACGGUUGCUAAUACUGGAUAUGAGCUUGCAAGGCAUCUUGUGGGUUGGAAAGAUUUUUUUGGUUGGGGAUGGACUCGCGGCCUAUCAGCUUGUUGGUGAGGUAGUGGCUCACCAAGGCUUCGACGGGUAGCCGGCCUGAGAGGGCGACCGGCCACAUUGGGACUGAGAGACGGCCCAAACUCCUACGGGAGGCAGCAGGGGGGAAUAUUGCACAAUGGACGGAAGUCUGAUGCAGCAACGCCGCGUGCGGGAUGACGGCCUUCGGGUUGUAAACCGCUUUCAAUUGUGACGAAGCUUUUUGUGACGGUAGCAGUAGAAGAAGCACCGGCUAACUACGUG
rnacentral:rRNA from 1 species